CAUCAUGGCCGCCCGGCCGGGGCGGCUGCCGGCGGGGCAGGGGAGGUGGAGAGGCGCGGCGGAGGCCCGGAUCCUGCUUCUCCUCUGGUUCGCGGGUGCAGCCGUGGAGGGAGCGGAGGGCACGGAGCCGCCGCUCAAGUGCGACGAGCUGAGGCUGGGGCAAUAUAUGUGUGAUGAGCCUAAAAUAGACAACAGUACACAAGAACCUAUGAAUUGUACAAAUCACACAGCAUAUGUUCAAUGUCUGCCAGCACCAAAUAUAACUUGCAAAGAUCACCUUGGCAUAGAAAAAGUCUUUACAGGACAUGAAGUUGGAUUUUACAAGCCUAUUCCAUGUCGCAAUGUAAAUGGAUACUCCUACAAAGUGGCAGUGGCUCUGUCCUUAUUUCUUGGAUGGUUGGGAGCAGAUAGAUUUUAUCUAGGCUAUCCUGCAUUAGGUUUGUUAAAGUUCUGCACUGUAGGAUUUUGUGGAAUUGGUAGCCUAAUUGAUUUCAUACUUAUUUCAAUGCAGAUUGUCGGACCUUCCGAUGGCUCUAGUUACAUUAUAGAUUACUAUGGAGCAAGGCUUACACGGCUCACUAUUACCAAUGCAACAUUCAGGAAAAUGCAGACCUAUCCUUAACCCUGGCAAGCUGCUUUUCGUUGACUCUCGUUCAUGUAUCAGCUACCUUUGGACAUCCUGCCACAAGUUCUCAAAGUACCUCUAGGAGGAAUUGGACUCUUCAGAGUUGAAUCAAGUGGAGCCAAACCCCCUAUCAGAUCUCCAAAUCUUCUGAAGUUGUUCUUUAUCAUACAGCAAGGACUUAGCACUCCGGUAUUUUUCCUUGCACAACAGAGAAAACUGGAAAGUGGAUGUGAGGAUUCUGUCUGGCCAAGAUGCAUUUUGCACUAUGCUUACUCUCUAGACCUAAGACUGUGGCAAAGGAAAAGAAAGGAAAUAGUCUUCUUCAAAGUUCCUUGGAUUUACCGUGGAGAAAACAUGGCAAGAACAUGUAAGAGGAGAUCACUGCCUGCGAAGAACUGACUGAGUGUUCACCUUGAGCCUGACAAGACUGCCCACCAUAUGGAUUGUGUUGGCAGAGGCAGAAGCCUGGGGAAUGCAGAGGUGGGGGGUAAUUUUUAGGGCUUGCAUUCCAUGGUCCCAUUGAUUAUAACCCUAUUAAGAGGAUGAUGCAUGCGACUUUUAAGUUAUUUUGUUAACUAAGUGUAAGCAAUGGAUAUGUCAUGCUAACAAACAUAAUUGCUGGUGUGUCCAAUACAGUAUGUAAGUACAGUAUAGUGAAUUUAAAAGGUUGUGGUAAUCUAAGAAUGUUAAAAGGGAAACGUGUGCCUGGGGGGUGUGGGGGUUGGGGAGAAAAACGACUUACUUGACAUUCACUGUCUUCCUCCCAGCUCCUUUGCUAAAGUAGGAACAGAAUCGGAACAAAAAAAUGUUUGUUUUACAGCUGUACCAAGUUACGGCGUGGACUUGUGCUCCCCCCCUCCUCUCCCACUUGCAUCAAGUACAUCCUGUACUUUUGGCAACAUGUUGACUGGAUAUUUAAAAGCUGUGAACUGUUCUGAAAGUUUCACAUACUGGGUUAUGGGCCAUGUGUGUUUGAUCAAAAUUCAAUUACUGCACUGUACCAUGCUUGGAAACCUAUCAUCCCAAGUUAUGAAGUAUGACGAAAUAGGCUAAUCUAAUUGGUUCAGUAUGGGAGCAGUAUCAACCAAGCUUGUUAUGAUAAAUAGCUUCCUGUGUUAAAGGUUCUCUAGAGCUUAAGUAUCUUGGCUCACCUCCCUCUACAAAAUAAGAAUAGUGUUCCCUGGGAACAGUUACAUCACUGUCCCUCUCCUACAUUCACAAUUAAAGGUUUGUGGAUUUUUUUCAUCUUGUUAUUCCUUGAAUAGAUAAACUGUGGCCAUCUACCCCAUUCCCCACUUCCAUCUCCUUCCCCUUUCCUCAGGUUAGGUCAUGUUGUGCUUACUGUGAGUCUGCCUGGUCUGUUUCAGGGCUAGGUAAAGGCAAGCUUGACCAGGAUGCCAAAACCCAUCCUGGGCCGGAGGCUGGGAUUUGUGUGCUGGUGUCAGUGCAUACAACAUGUCUGUUUGUAUAAAGAGUUGGAAUUUUUGAUGUUAAGUUAAACGUGGAAGCACUUUAAUCUUUCUAAGCAUCUAAUAAAAGAACUUUUGUAUAGCGAAUUUCAUACCUAUGGAUGUGCUAUUAUCUUCUUGAAACUGAAAUUUUAGUUCAUCAGUAGUUAAACGCAAAUCCAAUGUGCAAGUGCUGGAUUAUGACCAGGGAAGGACUAUGUUCUAAGCCUGGAUUUGUAGUCACUAAAUUUGUCACUAAGACAGUGAGCUGUCUCCCAUGAGAUGAUACUGGCUUCGUGAUUUUAUCUGGUCCAUCUUUGGCAAGAAGUACUUAGCUGGGAUUUUGAUGUCACAGUAAUAGACAGUGUCAAGGGGAAAAAAAAAAACCAACAUGGAAAAGUGGCUCCUUAUGCUCUGGCGAUUCAAUUUUUUUUCCUGUCUUGAACCACACCCCCUAUGUGCCUCCUAACUGAGAAAUCCCCUUCAGGCAAAACAAUUGUGUGAUGAUCAUUUUGCAAAGACAUAAUGUAGGCCUGAUAUUGCAAGAGCCUUUAACGUUGAUGAAAUUUCUCCAAAGAAUAAAGUUAUUCACUUACUUAAGGGUUGGUAGAAUGAGUCCUUAUGUAAGUGAGUCUUCGUAUUAGCCCCAAGACUGCCUAAUACCUGGAUUAAGCCUGUAUGGUGAUUAAUGCCUAUUUACUAUAUCUGUUAUCCCACAGCAUUUUGCUCUUCAGCCUUGAUUAAGCCCUUUGCUUUACCAUUUAAAAUGUCCUGCUUAACCUUCUGCUUACAAACGUACACAGUGCUGAGGUCUGCAUUUUUAACUAGAGCAAGUUCUACCAUAAAUAAUAGCAUUUAAUUUUAAAGUGCAACAGCUACAGUCACCACUUGAUUAAAUGACAAAGAACAGCAAUAGCAAAUGGGGGAACAUAGAGUUUUUCACAACAAAUGUCUACGUCCACGUGAGAGAAAAAAAUAUACCUUCCUGCUGCUGAUUAGCACUUCCUGUGCAGUUCUUUAUUUUACAUGUUUAUAGAAAAUUAUUACCAGAAGAGCCUAAAACAGUGACUCUCUGCGAUUUCCCCAAAUAUCUUUUGAAGGAGAUAAACUAGAUUAAUCUCUCUUUAUGAAGUUCCCACAAGAAACCUCACAGACACAGUAGCU